rnacentral:rRNA from 1 species
UACGGGGGGGGCAAGCGUUGUUCGGAAUUACUGGGCGUAAAGGGCGCGUAGGCGGUUCGCUAAGUUGGAUGUGAAAACUCUGGGCUCAACCCAGAGCCUGCAUCCAAAACUGGCGGGCUAGAGUUCUGGAGGGGGUAGCGGAAUCCUGGUGUAGCGGUGAAAUGCGUAGAUAUCAGGGAGGGAAACACCCGGUGGGCGAAAGGGCGGGCUACCUGGACAGAAAACUGACGCUGGAGGCGCGAAAAAGCUAGGGGGGAGCAAAACAGG